CACAAUAGCUUUUGUUUUGUAAUUAUUUCAUAUUUUUUUAUGCAGCUGCCUAUGACUGGCUCAAACUUUUUGAUUCGCCGUGGAGCACAGUUGAAUCAAAUUGGAAAAAAACCUUCAAAAUCAGACGACAAGAAAUUUUGAACUCAAGUGGUAGCACAUCAGCGAAAACUUUACGGGCCUGGAAACUUUUUUCCCAUUCAUGUGGAUACAAUCUGAUUGAUAUUGACUUCAAUGCUCUACAUCAGAAUUGCUCACAGCUAACAGAGAAAUGGCAAGGUUUUAGAACAAAAAUUAUACCAAUUUUGAAUAAGAGGGUAAAGGAUAUUCAAAAUCUUCAGCACUUGAAAAAAGUUAAUGAGAUUGAUAAAGGUUCAGAUCAACUUAUAGCAUUGUUACUGCACGUUGUACUACGACCUAAUAUAAAUCGGAAGGCAGGUGACAAAACGAUUUUUAGAAAUACUA